AUUGAACGCUGGCGGCAGGCCUAACACAUGCAAGUCGAGCGGAGCGGCGGACGGGUGAGUAAUGUCUAGGAAUCUGCCUGGUAGUGGGGGAUAACGUCCGGAAACGGGCGCUAAUACCGCAUACUAUCAGAUGAGCCUAGGUGGGAUUAGCUAGUUGGUGGGGUAACGGCCGACCAAGGCGACGAUCCGUAACUGGUCUGAGAGGAUGAUCAGCCACACUGGAACUGAGACACGGUCCAGACUCCUACGGGAGGCAGCAGUGGGGAAUAUUGGACAAUGGGCGAAAGCCUGAUGCAGCCAUGCCGCGUGUAUGAAGAAGGUCUUCGGGUUGUAAAGCACUUUAAGUUGGGAGGCGUUACCAACAGAAGAAGCACCGGCUAACUCCGUGCCAGCAGCCGCGGUAAUAC
rnacentral:rRNA from 1 species